rnacentral:rRNA from 1 species
UACCAGCACCCCGAGUGGUCGGGACGAUUAUUGGGCCUAAAGCAUCCGUAGCCGGUUCUACAAGUCUUCCGUUAAAUCCACCUGCUUAACAGAUGGGCUGCGGAGGAUACUAUAAGACUAGGAGGCAGGAGAGGCAAGCGGUACUCAGUGGGUAGGGGUAAAAUCCGUUGAUCCAUUGAAGACCACCAGUGGCGAAGGCGGCUUGCCAGAAUGCGCUCGACGGUGAGGGAUGAAAGCUGGGGGAGCAAACCGG